rnacentral:misc_RNA from 1 species
GUAGGUGAACCUGCGGAAGGAUCAUUCAUAAUAAGUGUUUUAUGGCACUUUUUAAAUCCAUAUCCACCUUGUGUGAACUGUCAGUCGAUCUUCUUUAUGGAGAUCGGCCAAAAAUCAACCUAAUUUUUUAACUCUUUGUCUGAAGAAUAUUAUGAAUAAAUAAUUCAAAAUACAACUUUCAACAAUGGAUCUCUUGGCUCUC